UAUGCUUUGGCUGACCAGGACCAGGAUGAAGAGAUGUAGACACGCCUCCUCAAGGAGUUUUGCAAGACGUCCCACCCACAUCAACAGGUGGUGGGCCUUUUGAUGACAGCUAUGGAAAAGUCUUUCCAGAAAAAUGCACGUGCACAUAAAAUUAGAAUGUUUCCAAGAUACGCAUGGACCCUGUGAAACCCACUGAAGAUUCCAUGGCCCCAGGCCAGGCGCUGUGGCUCAUGCCUGUUAUCCCAGCACUUUGUGAGGCCAAGGUGGGAGGAUUGCUUGAAGCCAGAAGUUUGAGACCAUCCUGGACAACAUAGUGAGAUCCAGUCUCUACUUUCUUAUAUACAUAAAAAAGAAUCUCUCUUCUUAUACUGAAGAAUCCGGAAAGCUAAAAACAAUCUUUUCUAGACCUUCUUGCAGCGAGAAUUUUGGAUGUACUUUAGGUUCUGACAUUCAGAUGCACUUGCUUAUAUAAAUCUUGGCUUUGGAA